UUCUGCUCUCUAGCGUCUCCCUUUGCCCCCGGAGAAGCUGCAUGUUGUCCUGAUUCAUUCUCCAGGCACAUCUUGCUGCAAACAGAAGUUGCCCUCUCCUAUUCCUGGUGAGACUUGAAGCUCUCAGAAGAUGCCUUGCCCCCUGAAAAUGCAAAAAAGAUGCACCGCAUUUUACUGAAAAAAUAAGAGAUCUGAUCUGAAGAUCUGGUGUGAAAUCCUUGGGUAAAAUUUGUCCUUCCUUGCUGGCUGUGUGCUUUGGAGAAGAAGAAGGAUUCACCACUUCCUCGCACAGAGCCAGGCCUUGGAGAACGAUGUCGGAAAUAGUGAAGAAAUGGUCAGGGAAGUAUGAACUUCUCUGCUUUUGCACACAUGGGGAUUAAAUAUUCAAAAGGAAGAUCUGCUACCUUUCGCUGUUUUGUGUGUCAGUAACACCUCCAAACAGUACGCUACGGAAUAAUAAUGCAACACUGGUAUACAGCCACGUAUGGUCUCGGUUCAUCUGCGAGACGUAAGAUGUGCCUUGGCUCUGUGACAGUCACAGGACUUGUUAAAAGAGAUGCAAACCGAAGAUGAAGACCGGCACAGUUUGUACUGUCUUAUCCAGUCUAGCUUCAUUCUGUCAGGGAACAUCAAUUAAAUCAGAUGAAGAAAUUAUGGAGCUUUUGUCUAGCUGCCUGACGGCUCCUUGGGACACUGGGGCGAUGCACACGGGAGAAGCACGAGAAACAGGCGGACCGUGCGGCUUUUAACGUCGUGGCUCCCAGCAUGAAGCCGUAUAAACACAGGACGCACGCAAUGUGUGACUGCCAAAUAGUUGGCCGCAGAGUUUCUGCCAUAUAAUACUCUGUGACGGGGCUGGGAGCCGUCCAGAAGGAGAUCAACCGAAAUGGUCCUGGGAGCUGGGAGAAAGCAACCAGAAAACACUGGCUGUUUCUGCUACACCUGUUAGUUCUUAAUUGCUCCGUGGUAACUAAUAACUAAGCUGCGUAGGAAGAAUUAUAAUGCAAACUCGGCUUAUGCUUCCAGUCUUUUUAAAGGGCUUGCUGUAGGGGCUAUGGAUACGUGCGAGGCAUGGGGAGGGCCGGUGAAAUGGAAAGGUGCUGUGGGUUGGGAUAAGUAGUUAUAUGAGGAGAAUGUGUCUCUUAACUCACCCUCAGUGUCCCCAGAUACAUGAAAACACAGUGCAGGCAAAAGGGACAGGUACACACCUGAGCGCUCCUCGCUUUCCAGGUGUUCACAGCAGAAAUGAGAGUGGCCGGACCUCCUGCGGUUGCCCAAAUGGCCACUGCAAACUUUCUGGCAGAUCACUUUGCAUCCUAUUCUUUCCCUCUCACCUGGGAAAAAGGCUGCUUGAUUCUUGCUUUUCCGGCCAGCUGCUAACCCAGUAGCACACAACCAAGUCUGACGCCCCACUGGGCUCAAAGAUGCUUACCAAAUCCUGUUACUCAUCCCCACAGCAACAAAAUGGCUCUCAACCCCCUCCCGUGUAUGUCUUCCCUGGGACCUCCAAUGUCUUCCCUGGGACCCAGGUAUCUGCUGCGGAUCCCAAUCACAGGGGGCCAGGGCCUGGCGGUGAGGGUGGGUGAUGCUGGGUCAGUCAUGCACCCUCUCCAGGUUUGCUCCUCACCUCCAGCACAAGGAAAAUAGUUAUUUUCUCUCUUCUGCAAAGAUAAAAAACCAAAAGCUAGGAAGGAUUUACAAUCUAUUUAUAUUUACAAAUAAUUUUCAGAUAUAAUUUUUAUAAGUCUCUGUGAUCAAGACCUAGGAAAAAAAUAUUUUUAAAGGUGCUACUCCCCACCCCAGGCAACCGUCAAAGCCUUUAUUUUUUCUCACAAGUAGCUCUAGUUUUACUUUAUGAAGGCUGCCAAGGACUUUCACAGCCUGAUGACAAGCCUUUUCAUUUGAACAAGCACAUUUUUGGGUGGGUUUUCUCCCAAAAGGUGGGAGACGAUACACGUGCAGGGUGAAGCUAACCUAGAGAUGAACUGCCCUGCUGCUGGCUCAUCUCUUUUUUUUUUCUGUUUUGUUUUGGGUUUGUUUUACUGGCAAAUUUCUGGGCUACAUUUGUUAGCCUUUUGUUCUUGCAUCUAAUAUUUUUGCUUUACAUGUCAGCUUUUCGUUUUCAAGUUGCUACCUACUAUCAGAUAACUGAGGUUAACAGAGGUUUCUUUCUUUAGCUGGAACUUAGCAGAGAAAGAGUAUUUCACUGAACUCUAGGUAUUCUUGACAAGUCCCACUCAGAAUUUCGCAGGGUGCUUUCACUCAUUUACCUGCAGUAAUGAACCUCGUGUGUGUCGUGCCCCCCAGCCACCGGUAAGCAGCUCUGCCAGCGGGACACCUCCAGCAGCCACUCUCCCAGGUGAGCACAAAGGCUCACAAAACAGAAAUGCCUUCGGGCCCCGGGGGUGUCAAUAGGUCUGCUCAGCUAUGCCGGGUUUAGUCAUGCAUUUUAAGUUUCUUCCUGAACCGGGGGUCUUAAUUCUUGUGCCAUUUUACUGGAACAAAGAGGUCAGAUUAUUUAUAGCUCGGUCGCCUUUGUGUGCGUGCAGCUAGCGAUGCCUUCGGUGCUCCGUUUCCUGGGACUCUUUUUCCCUCCGGCUCUUAUGCCUCAGCUAUUGUCUCCUAAUGCAAUAACAGUAAUUAUCCCAUCGCCGGCCACUGCGGCACCCUCUGUAAGCGCCUGCCUUACCUAGCGUACAGCAUAGGCUGGGAGCCAGGUAAAGCCUGUGUAAUUUAUAGCUCAUCAGAGAAGCCAAACAGCCCACGGUCUUCCUGUUUUGUAGAGACGGACUUAUCACCUAGACGCUGCUGCGAUGGGUGCGCUGGAAAGGCAGGAAGAUAAAAGUAGUGCACAGACAAGCUCUGGCCCUGUCUCUGUUUUUGUUCUCUGUUGUUUCAUUCAGGCAUGCAGUCAAGCAAAAUCAUCGUACUCGAUGCAACCAGAAGGCAAUAUUGAUAUGUUUGGAGCUACUCGGUAGACCCAGGAUAUUUCGCAAUGUGAUUGUUGUUUCACAUCCGGACGCCGAGUGCAGAACGAGAGAUGGUGCUGGUCCUGCUAAGGUUUCUCUGCUAAGGCCAGGAUUCAGCACGACGACCUCUUAUGUGUUUUAUUGGACUGUUGUCCUAUAGCAUCCUAUAGCGCAUGCUGUAUGACGCAUAGACUAACUUCACAGCCUCUUCAGUCCUGGUACGUUUUCAGGGUGCAUCUGUGGCCCCUUUGGGCUGAAAUCAUGAUCCAGUCCUCCAACACAUGGCUUGGCCUCAAAAUUGCAGAAAAGGGGCUGAAUGAGGAGAAGAAAAAAAACCUGCUGUGAAAGGACAGGGGUGUUUGGCUCCCACCUGUCCUCUUGCCACUGAAACCCUCGGACCAGGGUAGCCCGUGGCAACCCACCAGUCCGUCUGAAAACAACACCCUGCUCAUGUUUUUGCCUAAAACCCCACUCUUUUCUGUGGUCAAACUCUCUCUCUCACUGUCCUUGCCCCAGAAAGCACUAUGCCAGGCAGGGAGCUGCCCAUGGGAGAUUUUUGCGCAGCUGUAGGCCCCAAAUUGAACAGGGAUGGUCUCUCAAGUUGUUGGUGAUCUGAACCAUCAGCAGCCACCUUAACAGACCGGUUUCCCAUCUACGGCACCAAAGAACUGCUGUUGGUGUCAAAAAUACUUUCAAAAAUGCAACUAAAUGAAUAAAAAAAAAUUCUAUAAAUUCUCCUUCACAAUAGCAUUUGUGGUAUGCCUGCUCUUGCGAGCAGAAAUUAUUUUUCUUUAACUGCUAAGCUGACACAUCCAGCAGGAUUUGGAGGGCAGAGGUAAAUGAUGAGGUUAGAUGAAAUGAAGAACAGAUCUUGAGAACAUCACUCCUGACAUGGAUCCCAGCCUCAUUCAGGCAAGGCCAGAUAAUCCUUUGUGCAGAGGGUGCAACAUGCACGUCUGCACUGGAGACACCAGUCAAGGAAAAUCUUCUCUGGCACCAUCUGGGCUUGGCCCGCUUCUGUCCUCCAGGUCACAAGGAGCAUUUUCCACCAUGUCUUUGAACACCUUGGGCUGAUAACCACGCACUUCCCAGCAUAAAAAUUUCUGGCAACAUUUUGCUGAGAAGCUUUUGCACUUCUGAUACUCACACGUGGCCUCUGAAACUCAGCAGGAGCAAAGCUGUGGGGUCAGAUAUACACUUUGUCUUUGUUUCUUUAGCUGCUGCUCAUGUUUUUGGCUGAGAUAAAAACUCUUUUGGAAAUUAUUCAAAUCUUCAUUCAGUGCUUUGGCAAUCUGGGGAAAUUGCAUUACAUGAUGCUUCAAGCUAGCAAUGGUAGGGCCCAGAUAUCUUGGAUUUGACAACCAACAAACAUCUUCAUCAGCAAACUCGUAUGAAGUCAUGUUGUUUUGAGGUGCAAUUAAGUUACUACGAAUCUAGUCACAGAAUAGACCUUUGAACUGAGUAGAUCUCACUGUUUGAAGCGAAUGGGGGAAUAAACACAAAUACUUAUGCAUCUGAGACUCAGUUUUCCAGAGGGCAAACUGAUGAAGUGGGGUGAUGUUCUUCAGCAAAACUGGCUUGAGCAGAGAAGGUGGAGGCUUGGGCAGAGGCACGGAGGUGAGGGAUCCGGCACCCUGCCGGCUGACUCCAUGUGUCCGUGGCGCCCAGUUCUCCGGUUAGUCCUGAGAAGGCUGUUGGGAAGACUACAGAAAGAGGAGCUGAUCAGUUAGUGGUCAAGAAAUGCCAGUAUAACUGUCAAAAGCAAACCUGAGCUGAAACUUGCCAAAUAUUCCAGAAAAAAAAAAAAUGGGAAAAACUUCUUCAAAUCUAAAUGUAAGAGGGGAAGAAAAGCAGAAUCAGGCUGCUGUGCUGUAAAUGAGAUUAAAGAUAAUCUAGGCAUGGCCUAAAAUCAAAGGAGUAUUUUACCUCUGUUCUUGUUUAAGGAAGACAAAUCCUAGGGGCAAAACCAGGCUGGUUAAUGGAAACAGGGAUAUGGAAAUGGAAUCACUACUAUGGGGAAGCAAAGCUCAAAGAGGAGGCUGCGUUCCUCUUGGGGGGGGCAGGUCAUGCCCAUCCGGCAGUUCUGGAAAGACCAGCAUGUGAGGUGGCACGUCUAAUAGCAACUGUUUUUAUACAUCUGUCAAGUCAGUGAGGAACCCAUGACUGCGGAAUAUCCAUUACA